AAAUCGCAUAUGAGGCUUUAUAAAUCGGAUGAGUAAACACAUUAUUGCAACGUCCAAACGCCAAGGAGGCGAGUAUUUAUAAAGUAGAUGCGG
rfam:Saccharicrinis fermentans DSM 9555 = JCM 21142 DNA, contig: JCM21142.contig00134.